rnacentral:rRNA from 1 species
AGCAGCCGCGGUAAUUCCAGCUCCAAUAGCGUAUAUUAAAGUUGUUGCAGUUAAAAAGCUCGUAGUUGAAUUUCGGGGUUAGUAGGUUGGUCAUGCCUCUGGUAUGUACUGGUCUCACUGAUUCCUCCUUCCUGAUGAACCGUAAUGCCAUUAAUUUGGUGUUGCGGGGAAUUUGGACUGUUACUUUGAAAAAAUUAGAGUGUUUAAAGCAAGCUAACGCUUGAAUACAUUAGCAUGGAAUAAUGAAAUAGGACGUUCGAUCCUAUUUUGUUGGUUUCUAGGAUUGACGUAAUGAUUAAUAGGGAUAGUUGGGGGCAUUAGUAUUCAAUUGUCAGAGGUGAAAUUCUUGGAUUUAUUGAAGACUAACUACUGCGAAAGCAUUUGCCAAGGAUGUUUUCAUUAAUCAAGAACGAAAGUUAGGGGAUCGAAGACGAUCAGAUACCGUCGUAGUCUUAACCAUAAACUAUGCCGACUAGGGAUCGGAUGAUGUUAAUUUUUUAAUGACUC